rnacentral:rRNA from 1 species
CAGCAGCAGCCACGGUAAUACAGAGGGUGCGAGCGUUAAUCGGAUUUACUGGGCGUAAAGCGUGUGUAGGUUGUUGUUCAAGUCAGUUGUGAAAUCCCUGGGCUCAACCUGGGAACUGCUUCUGAGACUGAACGACUAGAGUACGGUAGAGGGUGGUGGAAUUUCCGGUGUAGCGGUGAAAUGCGUAGAUAUCGGAAGGAACAUCAAUGGCGAAGGCAGCCACCUGGGCCUGUACUGACACUGAGACACGAAAGCGUGGGGAUCAAACAGGAUUAGAUACCCCGGUAGUCCCUGUCUCUUAUAC